CCUACGGGAGGCUGCAGUGGGGAAUAUUGGACAAUGGGGGCAACCCUGAUCCAGCCAUGCCGCGUGUGUGAAGAAGGCCCUCGGGUUGUAAAGCACUUUCAGUGAGGAAGAACGCCUGGUGGUUAAUACCCAUCAGGAAAGACAUCACUCACAGAAGAAGCACCGGCUAACUCCGUGCCAGCAGCCGCGGUAAUACGGAGGGUGCGAGCGUUAAUCGGAAUUACUGGGCGUAAAGCGCGCGUAGGUGGCUUGAUAAGCCGGUUGUGAAAGCCCCGGGCUCAACCUGGGAACGGCAUCCGGAACUGUCAAGCUUGAGUGCAGGAGAGGAAGGUAGAAUUCCCGGUGUAGCGGUGAAAUGCGUAGAGAUCGGGAGGAAUACCAGUGGCGAAGGCGGCCUUCUGGACUGACACUGACACUGAGGUGCGAAAGCGUGGGUAGCAAACAGGAUUAGAUACCCCAGUAGUC
rnacentral:rRNA from 1 species